AAGGAUCAUUAACGAAUUCAAAGUCGGCCUCGUUGUGCUGGUGGAAACACAUGUGCACACUUGGUCGCAAAUCCACACACCUGUGCAUCUAUGACUCGAGGUUGUCGUCGUAUGACCAAGAGUAACUUUUACACACUCUUGAAUGUAAUGGAAUGUCUAUGUGCAUAAUGUACAAUGAAAACAACUUUCAACRACGGAUCUCUUGGCUCUCGCAUCGAUGAAGAACGCAGCGAAAUGCGAKAAGUAAUGUGAAUUGCAGAAUUCAGUGAAUCAUCGAAUCUUUGAACGCACCUUGCACCCUUUGGUAUUCCGAAGGGUACACCCGUUUGAGUGUCAUUGUAAUCUCACUUCRACGACUUUAUUGUUGUUUGAAUGUGGACUUGGACGUCUGCCGUGUAACAAYGGCUCGUCUUAAAUGCCUGAGUGUACCCCGCUUUGCGGCGUAUUCGGUGUGAUAAACAUUUCACCGGAGUUUGGUCUUUAKUGACCGCGCUUUUAGCAAUUGGUGGGCUCUAUGCUUUCKAACCGUCUGCCUCUGUGGACAAUCUCUUGACAAUUUGACCUCAAAUCGGGUGGGACUACCCGCUGAACUUAAGCAUAUCAAUAAGCGGAGGAAAAGAAACUAACAAGGAUUCCCCUAGUAACGGCGAGUGAAGAGGGAAAAGCUCAAAUUUUGAAUCUGGUGUCUUUGGCGCCCGAGUUGUAAUCUAGAGAAGUGUUUUCCGUGUCGGACCGUGUACAAGUUCCCUGGAACGGGGCGUCAUAGAGGGUGAGAAUCCCGUAUAUGCCACGGACUACCGAUGCUCUGUGAUACACUCUCAACGAGUCGAGUUGUUUGGGAAUGCAGCUCAAAAUGGGUGGUAAAUUCCAUCUAAAGCUAAAUAUUGGCGAGAGACCGAUAGCGAACAAGUACCGUGAGGGAAAGAUGAAAAGCACUUUGGAAAGAGAGUGAAACAGUACGUGAAAUUGUUGAAAGGGAAGCGUUUGAAGUCAGUCACGUUUGUUGGGAUUCAGCCUGGCUUCUGCCUGGUGUAUUUCCUUUCCAACGGGUCAGCAUCAGUUUCGACCGAGGGAAAAAGACAUUUGGAAUGUGGCUGUCUUYGGGCAGUGUUAUAGCCUUGUGUUGUAUGUCUCGGUUGGGACUGAGGAACGCAGCGCGCCAUUUUGGCCGGGGGUCGCUCCUCUCGACACGCGC
rnacentral:rRNA from 1 species